rnacentral:piRNA from 1 species
UAAUAAAGGAUAUAGCACCACUUCGGAUG